CAAAUGGACUCUCAGCAACGGA
rnacentral:rRNA from 1 species